GACGAACGCUGGCGGCGUGCUUAACACAUGCAAGUCGAACGGAAAGGCCCCUUUGGGGGUACUCGAGUGGCGAACGGGUGAGUAACACGUGAGUAACCUGCCCUUGACUUCGGGAUAACUUCAGGAAACUGGGGCUAAUACCGGAUAGGAAUCCUUGCUGCAUGGUGGGGGUUGGAAAGCUUCGGCGGUUUGGGAUGGACUCGCGGCUUAUCAGCUUGUUGGUGGGGUAGUGGCUUACCAAGGCUUUGACGGGUAGCCGGCCUGGGAGGGCGACCGGCCACAUUGGGACUGAGAUACGGCCCAGACUCCUACGGGAGGCAGCAGUGGGGAAUAUUGCACAAUGGGCGGGAGCCUGAUGCAGCAACGCCGCGGGCGGGAUGACGGCCUUCGGGUUGGAAACCGCUUUCAGCAGGGGCGAAGCUUGUGGUGACGGUACCUGCAGAAGAAGCACCGGCUAACUACGUG
rnacentral:rRNA from 1 species